GAUGAACGCCGGCGGUGUGCCUAAUACAUGCAAGUCGUACGCACUGGCCCAACUGAUUGAUGGUGCUUGCACCUGAUUGACGAUGGAUCACCAGUGAGUGGCGGACGGGUGAGUAACACGUAGGUAACCUGCCCCGGAGCGGGGGAUAACAUUUGGAAACAGAUGCUAAUACCGCAUAACAACAAAAGCCGCAUGGCUUUUGUUUGAAAGAUGGCUUUGGCUAUCACUCUGGGAUGGACCUGCGGUGCAUUAGCUAGUUGGUAAGGUAACGGCUUACCAAGGCGAUGAUGCAUAGCCGAGUUGAGAGACUGAUCGGCCACAAUGGAACUGAGACACGGUCCAUACUCCUACGGGAGGCAGCAGUAGGGAAUCUUCCACAAUGGGCGCAAGCCUGAUGGAGCAACACCGCGUGAGUGAAGAAGGGUUUCGGCUCGUAAAGCUCUGUUGUUGGAGAAGAACGUGCGUGAGAGUAACUGUUCACGCAGUGACGGUAUCCAACCAGAAAGUCACGGCUAACUACGUGCCAGCAGCCGCGGUAAUACGUAGGUGGCAAGCGUUAUCCGGAUUUAUUGGGCGUAAAGCGAGCGCAGGCGGUUGCUUAGGUCUGAUGUGAAAGCCUUCGGCUUAACCGAAGAAGUGCAUCGGAAACCGGGCGACUUGAGUGCAGAAGAGGACAGUGGAACUCCAUGUGUAGCGGUGGAAUGCGUAGAUAUAUGGAAGAACACCAGUGGCGAAGGCGGCUGUCUGGUCUGCAACUGACGCUGAGGCUCGAAAGCAUGGGUAGCGAACAGGAUUAGAUACCCUGGUAGUCCAUGCCGUAAACGAUGAGUGCUAGGUGUUGGAGGGUUUCCGCCCUUCAGUGCCGGAGCUAACGCAUUAAGCACUCCGCCUGGGGAGUACGACCGCAAGGUUGAAACUCAAAGGAAUUGACGGGGGCCCGCACAAGCGGUGGAGCAUGUGGUUUAAUUCGAAGCUACGCGAAGAACCUUACCAGGUCUUGACAUCUUGCGCUAACCUUAGAGAUAAGGCGUUCCCUUCAGGGACGCAAUGACAGGUGGUGCAUGGUCGUCGUCAGCUCGUGUCGUGAGAUGUUGGGUUAAGUCCCGCAACGAGCGCAACCCUUGUUACUAGUUGCCAGCAUUGAGUUGGGCACUCUAGUGAGACUGCCGGUGACAAACCGGAGGAAGGUGGGGACGACGUCAGAUCAUCAUGCCCCUUAUGACCUGGGCUACACACGUGCUUCAAUGGACGGUACAGCGAGUCGCAAACUCGCGAGAGUAAGCUAAUCUCUUAAAGCCGUUCUCAGUUCGGACUGUAGGCUGCAACUCGCCUACACGAAGUCGGAAUCGCUAGUAAUCGCGGAUCAGCAUGCCGCGGUGAAUACGUUCCCGGGCCUUGUACACACCGCCCGUCACACCAUGGGAGUUUGUAACGCCCAAAGUCGGUGGCCUAACCUUUAUGGAGGGAGCCGCCUAAGGCGGGACAGAUGACUGGGGUGAAGUCGUAACAAGGUAGCCGUAGGAGAACCUGC
rnacentral:rRNA from 2 species